CCUCAUAAGUUAGACGAUAUGAAGAACCACUGAAUAUUAUUAGUGUUACUACACUAGUAAUAUUUAAGUGGUGGCACAGAAUCGGAGGCCCCGACUGUUUACUUAAAACACAGCUUUCUGCGACGAAUAAUAUCUUUGUAUAGAAAGCGAAUUUUGCCCAAUGCCAUUAAUAUAAGGUCGAUAAGCGCUUAGCGUAAUUAUUGGCUGAAGUUCUGGUCAAUGGCGGUCUUAUCUAUGAGGAUCCUAAGGUAGCAAAAUUAAUUGUCCAUUAAAUGUGGUCCUGACUGAAUAAAGUAACGAUGGUCUCGCUGUCUCUACAAGUAUCUCAGUGAAAUUGAAUUAGCCGUGCAGAUGCGGUUUAACUUCGGGUAGACGGGAAGACCCUA
rnacentral:rRNA from 1 species